rnacentral:lncRNA from 1 species
CGUGCGCGUGGUCUUCCAGAGCCCUCGCAGAAAACCUCAAGGCUUUUGCCCCGUUGUGCUCACAGCCCACAGCAGGGAGCGUUCACCCCAGCAGAGCCGGUCCCAGCCAGAUCCUGACUGGCGGAGGGAAUCCUCCAGUGCGCUGUCCUGCUAGAAGGCACGCGUGUGUGGAAAGGCCUCUGGGCCGAGGGCAACUCUCUGCUCAUUGCAUGAGGGUUUUACCAGGGAGAAGUGUUGGGGAGAACGGAGGAGCCCAAGGUCAAGGGCACGGGCAUCUGCAGUCACCCUCGGAGUGGAGUCCGGACGCCCCUGACCCUUCCUCCAGCAGGAGGUGAGUCUCACACUGCCUGCUGCAGAAGGGAUCGCCAGGACCUUCCUGCUCUGUGACACGGGGUGGCAGUAGAGGCCCGGGAACUGCUCCUGGCUAGAGCAGCCAUGGGAAGCCGGCACUUCUCGUGUCUCUUCUAGUCCAGAGGGAACAGGCCGGCUUGUGCUGGAUUUUGAGGAGACGCCUUAUGGUUUCACGAAGCAGUUGGAGGGGACACGGCUCAGGGUUUUCACUGGGAUUGGUUUAAAAGUGCAUUACGGGAUACUCUUCUGUUUGGAGAUUUGAGAGGAGUCAUGACUAACAAAGGCCUGGCAGGAACAAAGGGUGUGAAGCUGAGGGCUCCAAAAGGAGUGCAGAUUCUGUGGCGGCCCAUGGAAUGACAGCAGUAACCAGCUAGGGUAGUUGAAGCCAUUAUUAACUCUAAUUUACAGAGGAAGAAAUUGAAAGCCAAAGAGCACCACCUAGCAUCCACCUAGCAUCCCAACAUGAGUCCACAGCAAGUCCAUGAAGACAAAUAGAGAAGACAAAAAACACAAAAGCAAAAAGAAAAAGACCAAAC